UACAUCUUUAACUUCCAUGAAACAUUAUAGGGUUUUUUCUCUCUUGCAACCCUUGAAUGUGUUUGUUGAUUGACAUCUAUACAUAUCGAUAAUCCUAUCGUGUUGAUAGAUCGAUUGGUUUAGAUGACCAUCAACAAACGCUUUCGUGGUUUUGCAUCGCUUCUUGAAAUCUUGAUCAUGUUUUUAGCAUCUUUGUA
rnacentral:pre_miRNA from 1 species